CAAUAGCGUAUAUUUAAGUUGUUGCAGUUAAAAAGCUCGUAGUUGGAUUUCGGAUGGGAUUUGCCGGUCCGUCGUUACGAUGUGCACUGGCCAGUCCUAUCUUGUUGUCGGGGACUAGCUCCUUGGAUUCACUUCCUGGGACUAGGAGCUGACGAGGUUACUUUGAGAAAAUUAGAGUGUUCAAAGCAAGCCUACGCUCUGAAUACAUUAGCAUGGAAUAACACGAUAGGACUCUGGCUUAUCUUGUUGGUCUGUGAGACCAGAGUAAUGAUUAAGAGGGACAGUCGGGGACAUUCGUAUUUCAUUGUCAGAGGUGAAAUUCUUGGAUUUAUGAAAGACGAACUUCUGCGAAAGCAUUUGUCAAGGAUGUUUUCAUUA
rnacentral:rRNA from 1 species